ACGUAGGGACCAAGCGUUGUUCGGAUUUACUGGGCGUAAAGGGCGCGUAGGCGGCAAUUCAAGUCAUCUGUGAAAUCUCCGGGCUUAACUCGGAACGGUCAGAUGAUACUGCUUUGCUAGAGUGCGGAAGGGGCAAUCGGAAUUCUCGGUGUAGCGGUGAAAUGCGUAGAUAUCGGGAGGAACACCAGUGGCGAAGGCGAGUCUCUGGGACGAUGCUGACGCUGAGGCGCGAAAGCCAGGGGAGCAAACGGGA
rnacentral:rRNA from 1 species